rnacentral:rRNA from 1 species
UACGUAGGGCGCAAGCGUUGUCCGGAAUUAUUGGGCGUAAAGAGCUCGUAGGCGGUUUGUCGCGUCGGGAGUGAAAACCUUGGGCUUAACUCAGGGCUUGCUUUCGAUACGGGCAGACUAGAGGUAUGCAGGGGAGAACGGAAUUCCUGGUGUAGCGGUGAAAUGCGCAGAUAUCAGGAGGAACACCGGUGGCGAAGGCGGUUCUCUGGGCAUGAUCUGACGCUGAGGAGCGAAAGUGUGGGGAGCGAACAGG